rnacentral:rRNA from 1 species
AUUGAACGCUGGCGGAAUGCUUUACACAUGCAAGUCGAACGGCAGCACGGACUUCGGUCUGGUGGCGAGUGGCGAACGGGUGAGUAAUGUAUCGGAACGUGCCCAGUCGUGGGGGAUAACGUAGUGAAAAUUACGCUAAUACCGCAUACGAUCUGUGGAUGAAAGCGGGGGAUCGCAAGACCUCGCGCGAUUGGAGCGGCCGAUAUCAGAUUAGGUAGUUGGUGGGGUAAAGGCCCACCAAGCCAACGAUCUGUAGCUGGUCUGAGAGGACGACCAGCCACACUGGAGCGGAGACACGGUCCAGACUCCUACGGGAGGCAGCAGUGGGGAAUUUUGGACAAUGGGCGAAAGCCUGAUCCAGCCAUUCCGCGUGCAGGAUGAAGGCCCUCGGGUUGUAAACUGCUUUUGUACAGAACGAAAAGGUUUCUACUAAUACUAGGAGCUCAUGACGGUACUGUAAGAAUAAGCACCGGCUAACUACGUGCCAGCCGCCGCCGUAA